rnacentral:lncRNA from 1 species
AUGUGUGGGGGUGGGAGCGUGGGAGGGGGGCUGCCUCCUCUCUCUCCUCCCGCUCCCCCUCCUUUCUUCUCUCUCUCUCUCCCCCUCCCUCCUCGCUUACCUCGCCUCUCUCCCUCUAUCUCUCCCUCAUUUCCUUUCUUUCUCUUCUCCCUCUCUCCUCCAGUCCCCCCCCACCCUCUUUCUUACUCUCCCCUCCCUCUCUCCUCUCCUUCUCUCGCCCUCCCUCUCUCUUCUCCCUCUCCCUUCAAGUCUGGCACUGAACUCGAACUGUUUUGCUUUGCUCCGGGAAGAGUGCAGACACAGAACGUGAAAUUCCGAGCUUUUUUUUUUUUUUUUUUUUUUUUGCGUGGUGCAUUUAAAACGCUUCCUUAUUUAUAUUACCCUCAUUCCCUCACCUCUCCCACCCCCUCACCAGCCUUUCCAAAUUUCCCUAGAAAUCUCUAUAAAGCGUGCGGAGGGGAAAACAUUUGCACAAAAAGUGAAGGAGCUCGCCAAGGAGUUCCCGUUUGGGUAGUCAAACCUGCCCUGACACCUGGACGUCUGCAUGAGGGGUGGUCACUGAAGGAGGAGUUGUCAGAGGCCAUAGGAGCUAAAGAGUCUGUGCAGAUGAGCUCUGGAGUCCCAGACUUAUGAAAUCCUCCAGUUCAUAGCUAUUUCCCCCUCAAGCUUGCCCUUCAGGAGCUUGUCCAGAAAAAAACCUGUUUCAGGUAGUUUUACAUAAGAAUUAUUUGCAUUUAAAUAUGAAACAGUCAUGAAAACAGUUGCUGUCUCUUCAAAUAAUAAACAAAUGGUAUUUUAAAAAUACA